GGUCCCGUAGUUCAACGGAUAGAAUGUCAGAUUCCGGUUCUGAUGAUUCGGGUUCGAAUCCCGGCGGGAUCACUA
rnacentral:tRNA from 1 species